CCGAGUUCGUGCCCUUACGGGUAGAUCUCCCACCCUUGAAUACUAUACCUUUGUUGCUUUGGUGGGCCGCCUCGGCUACUGGCUUCGGCUGGUAAGUGCCCGCCAGAGGACCCAAAACUCUGAAUUAUAGUGUUGUCUGAGUACUAUAUAAUAGUUA
rnacentral:misc_RNA from 1 species